rnacentral:rRNA from 1 species
CGAAGGGGGCUAGCGUUGUUCGGAUUUACUGGGGCGUAAAAGCGCACGUAGGCGGUUUGUUAAGUCAGAGGUGAAAUCCCGGAGCUCAACUCCGGAACUGCCUUUGAUACUGGCAAGCUAGAGUCCGGAAGAGGUAAGUGGAACUCCUAGUGUAGAGGUGGAAUUCGUAGAUAUUAGGAAGAACACCAGUGGCGAAGGCGGCUUACUGGUCCGGAACUGACGCUGAGGUGCGAAGCGUGGGGAGCAAACAGGAUU